rnacentral:rRNA from 1 species
GACGAACGCUGGCGGCGUGCUUAACACAUGCAAGUCGAACGGAAAGGCCUGCUUUCCCUUGUGGAUUGCGGGUACUCGAGUGGCGAACGGGUGAGUAACACGUGAGUGAUCUGCCCCCAACUUGGGUAUAAGCCUGGGAAACUGGGUCUAAUUCCCGAUAGGACUGCAGGGUGGUUCCUGUGGUGGAACACGAUUUUCUAGUGGUUGGGGAUGAGCUCGCGGCCUAUCAGCUUGUUGGUAGGGUAAUGGCCUACCAAGGCGGCGACGGGUAGCCGGCCUGAGAGGGUGGACGGUCGCACUGGGACUGAGAUACGGCCCAGACUCCUACGGGAGGCAGCAGUGGGGAAUAUUGGACAAUGGGCGGAAGCCUGAUGCAGCGACGCCGCGUGGGGGAUGACGGCCUUCGGGUUGUAAACUCCUUUCGACCGAGAGGAAGCCACCUGGUUGGAAGGGUGGUGACGGUAGUGGUAGAAGAAGCACCGGCUAACUACGUG